UACGUAGGGUGCAGGCGUUAAUCGGAAUUAUUGGGCGUAAAGCGCGCGCAGGCGGUCCUUUAAGUCUGAUGUGAAAGCCCACGGCUCAACCGUGGAGGGUCAUUGGAAACUGGGGGACUUGAGUGCAGAAGAGGAGAGUGGAAUUCCACGUGUAGCGGUGAAAUGCGUAGAGAUGUGGAGGAACACCAGUGGCGAAGGCGACUCUCUGGUCUGUAACUGACGCUGAGGCGCGAAAGCGUGGGGAGCAAACAGG
rnacentral:rRNA from 1 species